rnacentral:tRNA from 1 species
GGGCUCGUAGCUCAGCAUGGUUAGAGCGCUGGUCUUAUAAGCCAGAUGUCGUGAGUUCAAAUCUCACCGGGCCCA